UGUUCUUCCAAGUAGUUGAAGAUACCUGCACUUUUUCUCUCUGGGAUAUGUGGAUUCAGUAGUAGAAGAUAUCAGUAAGGCAGGAACAUGGUGGCUCUGCCUAUGAAGAAACACCUCAACACCACUUGGAUCUAUAAAGUUGCAGACACAGCAUUCAAAAGAAUCGGAACGAACCAGAGGCCAUUGGAAUAUGGAAUAUGGAGGAUAGUGGUGACUGAGCUGACGGAUUAACACAGGGUAAGUCAUUUGUCUUUUUCAGCUCAGGCAGAUGCAAGGCUUUGGGAUUCUUGGAUAAAGGAGUAUAGACGAGUAAUCAGACUGACCUGGUUGCUGCUAGGGAAAAUGGUUAUGAGCCAUAGCAUCCAAGGAGCAGGACUGUGUACCAGCUGUAGGUGUUCAUCCAAUCAAAACAUCUCCUAGGCCUCCCUCCCUCACAGCUGCUGGCCCCGCUUUGGCCACCACCACCCUUGCCAUCAUCCUUCCUGUGGCUUCUCAGGAGCCUCCCUGAAGCUCCCUCUGCCCUGUGCUGCUUUGCGCUCUCCAUUCCUUCCUCUGUAGGUGAAUCCUGUCUGAAACAAAAGUCAGCCCGUGUCAGCCCAGGGU